UCCAUGUAGCGGACCCCCAACGAGCGAAUCCCCACUGUAUAAUCAUGACAACAUGAGCCCUAUUUAAAAGUAUCUACAUGCACUUUAAUUAUUACGAACAUUACGUUUCUUUGAUUCCGUGGUGAAAAAAUCACGUCACUACUGUAAAUAUAUACCUACAUGUACACUAUACAUCAAUUGCUAUACAGACACAAUACGCGUAGUCGAUACGUAAGCUAAGCUUUUCAACAGCAGUAGUUGCAGUAGUUGAAAACUAUCCGUCGGGUGUAUCACAUUCUUUUGUGCGCUUUUCAGUUGAGUUUCGGUAUUGUUCAUUUUUUAUCGCAAGGAUGAUGGAACUUGAAGAAGACCUCUUGUUGCUGUCGCCGGUGGUAGAUGUCCCGCAGACGCCUUCUACAUCUACGACGAAGCGUACGGCGGCAUCUCCAGCUGCUAACACCGACAAGAAAGGGCGUACGGACGAUCCCAAUGGUAUGAGGCUGGUAGUCAAAAGACCAGAGAACGAUGUGGACGGCGAUUUUUACGAUAAGCUGAUGUCUGAGUUAAUGACGCUACAAGUAGCGAUACCUCUGGGCCAACAGCAACCAGUGUUCCUUGGUUCUGGCAUCUCCUUUGGAGUAGUUUGGUUCACCGCCAAAGAUCAAUUCAGUUAUGACUGGUUGAAAGCGACCUUGGCGGCCAUUUCGCUUAACAAAUUGAUGCCCCCCUUUGAGAUACUCGCUCAGUCAGCACCUGAACCACUCCGUAGAAUGAUCAUUUCAAUACCACUGAUACCCAAACUUGGGAAAAAUCCACAACCAACAAACGGAAAACAAUCAGUAAUUCUUGGUGUUGACGAAAACUCAGUAGUAAAAAUAGAAGCACAAAAAAACAAGAUUUUUUACGCAAUGUCUCAGAUUUUUGUAAAAUUCUACCCAAAGCAACAAUAACGUAAAAAACAAUUGGUUAUCGUACGUACAACGUGAACUUUAAAAAUCAUAUCUUUGGAUUAAAUUUUCUUGAAUAAAAACUAAUUUGAACUGAAUCAGAUUCGUUGUUACUUAUUAGUAAACUGCAAGAAAUUCAAAAACAGAAUAUAAAGAAGAAAGAAAUUUUUAUUCAAAACUAAACAGUUUAAAUAUGCAUAUUUUACCUAUAUGGAAACCACCUGGAAGCUUUUAGAUACUGUUUUUC